rnacentral:pre_miRNA from 1 species
UUAACUCAAAUUUGUGUAUGGAGUUGGAAUGUUUGCCUGCGUUUGCCGCUAGGGGCGCUGUUCCCACUGCAUACAAAUUUGGGUUA